CCUACGGGCGGCAGCAGUGAGGAAUAUUGGUCAAUGGCCGGAAGGCUGAACCAGCCAAGCCGCGUGAAGGACGAAGGUGCCAAGCAUUGUAAACUUCUUUUGUCAAGGGACAAAAUCAGGCUCGAGAGCCUGACCGAGGGUACUUGAAGAAAAAGCAUCGGCUAACUCCGUGCCAGCAGCCGCGGUAAUACGGAGGAUGCGAGCGUUAUCCGGAUUUAUUGGGUUUAAAGGGUGCGUAGGGGGGCCGUUAAGUCAGCGGUGAAAGCCCCGGGCUCAACCCCCGCGGAGCGGUUGAAACUGGCUGUCGUGAGAUGUGGAGAGGUAUGCGGAAUGCGCGGUGUAGCGGUGAAAUGCUUAGAUAUUGCGAAGAACUCCGAUUGCGAAGGCAGCAUACCGGCGGCGAUCUGACGCUGAGGCACGAAAGCGUGGGUAUCGAACAGGAUUAGAUACCCUGGUAGUC
rnacentral:rRNA from 1 species